rnacentral:lncRNA from 1 species
UUGUCAUGCCUACUGCUUUUUGUCAAUCAUUGGUCAUUCAUUGGAGAAUGUUAUUAUUGAUUGAUAAUAGUUCAAACUUUUGGAUGACAAUGCUAUAAUUUGAUCAAUUUUGUUUAGUUAUUUCCUAGGCUUUAUCUUCUAUUUCAGAUUCUCUCGUAAAUUCUCCUCCUCAUUCUAUAACUUAAAGUAUGUGAAGGUGCCACAAGGAUGUAAAGAAACAAAUUUUGUCAACUGACCUCAAAUGCUACUUGCUUGGUCGCUCUCCAAAGCUACUAUUGUCACUAAAUUUCCUCAGGUACUAAUGAAUCGUAUCGACUUUUGAUUAAUCGUUUCAUUCCCUUUCUUGUUUUGUAAGCAUAUGAGGAUGACGUGGCAUCUCUCAAGGGCCUCCAUCUAUGUUUUCUAUUUUUCUAGCAUCUUUGUGCUUUGGUAUUUUUAUUUUGAUUAAAACUAAUUAAUUCUUUAUCUUUUCAGCUUAUUAAUUGUUAUGAAUUACAGUUACAGACUUUUUAUUUUCCUCUUCACUUCACUUCUUGCUUUCCAUGUGACAGUAUAUAUAGAUGUUUAUGCAUUGAAUUGCUAAUUGGUUGUGAUUGACUUGAUGAGUAAUUUGGUUGGGAAAGGCAUUAAGAAAGCAACUGGCUAACAAGAUCGGUGUCUGUUUGUAUAGUGUGAUUUUGCUGUAUGUUUGAUAUUGAACUUCUAUGAUGAUAUGUGUCGGUUAUUACAGGCAGCUAGGAAGUCUGCACCAACCACUGGAGAAUGAAGAUGCCCCACAGAUACCAUCCUGGAACUCUUGCC